CCUACGGGAGGCAGCAGUAGGGAAUCUUCCACAAUGGACGAAAGUCUGAUGGAGCAACGCCGCGUGAGUGAUGAAGGUUUUCGGAUCGUAAAACUCUGUUGUAAGGGAAGAACAAGUACGAGAGGGAAUGCUCGUACCUUGACGGUACCUUGCGAGAAAGCCACGGCUAACUACGUGCCAGCAGCCGCGGUAAUACGUAGGUGGCAAGCGUUGUCCGGAAUUAUUGGGCGUAAAGCGCGCGCAGGCGGCCUUUUAAGUCUGAUGUGAAAGCCCCCGGCUCAACCGGGGAGGGUCAUUGGAAACUGGAAGGCUUGAGUACAGAAGAGAAGAGUGGAAUUCCAUGUGUAGCGGUGAAAUGCGUAGAGAUGUGGAGGAACACCAGUGGCGAAGGCGACUCUUUGGUCUGUAACUGACGCUGAGGCGCGAAAGCGUGGGGAGCAAACAGGAUUAGAUACCCUGGUAGUCCACGCCGUAAACGAUGAGUGCUAGGUGUUGGGGGGUUUUCCGCCCCGUUCNGUGNUGAGACUACGCAGUAGCGACGUCCGCCGUCGGGAGGUACGGCCGGCGAGCGUUGAACGUACGAAGUUAGUAAGUUAGACGGCGUGAGACGNGCGACGGACGACGACGAGGGAGGAGG
rnacentral:rRNA from 1 species